rnacentral:lncRNA from 1 species
AAUCCCAUAAAACUACCACGCCUCCAGCCGCACCCCUAGCAUUCACUGCACCCCACUCUAGAAAUCUCCCCACUCCUAUGCUACACACCACCCCAAGAGACAAUUCUUGCAUUUUAGUCUCCUGCAAACACACCAAAUCCACAAUUUGAGACCUAAUUAAAGCCUUGAUUAAUUUCCUCUUAUUGACAUCAUUCACUCCUUGAUUUGUAUCUCUCUCCUUCGGUCCCAGAUGCCAGAUUAUGGCCAUUAUCCUCUUCAGGGUUUUUUUCAGUCAUCCUUUUUUCUAGCAUUAUCUCAAUCUUCUGGUUCUCCUCAGAACUUUCCUUCAAAGUUCGUGUGGAAUUCUCAAGUUCCUUUCAAAGUGAAGUCAUUUGUCUAGUUAGUGGCACACAAGAAGGUGAAUACUAAUGAUAUGUUACAAGUGAAAAGACCCUACAAAGCCCUUAGUCCUGAUAUUUGUAUCCUGUGCAUGAAGCACGGGGAAUCAACAGAUCAUCUUUUUCUUCAUUGUUCCUUGAUGAUUAGGUUGUGGCACAGGUUAUUUCAAUUAGCUAAGAUGGAUUGGGUUCCCCUAAGGAGCAUAUAUGACAUGAUGACCAUCAAAUUUAAAGGCUUCGGUAAUUCUAAGAGAGGGAUAGUUUUGUGGCAAGCUGCGAGCAUAACUCUAAUUCGGGUUGUGUGGUGGGAAAGAAACGCAAGGAAUUCAGAGUUCCUUUAGGACUCUAUUGUUUUCCUUGCUUCCCUUUGGGCUUUCUGCUCCAAGGCAUUUAAGGGGAUUCCCCUUAAUGUGAUUCAACUGGAUUGGAUAGCGGCGUGUACUCCAUAGGGAUUGGUCCUUAGUGGGAGUUCGUUUGUUUUAUGUGUAUUUUCCUGUAAUUUAGUUGUCUUUGGUGGGAGGAUUUCUCAUCCUUCUUCUUGUACUUCUUUUUUAUAUUAAUAUAUCUUUGUGGCGUUUCCAAUAAAUAAAAAACAUCAUUCACUCCUCUUACAUUCUAGAACAAAAUUUUCAACUUCAUGUAAGGCACGACUCUUUGUCCCCUCCUCCUUUAUACAGCCUGUUCCUUUUUUUUUCCUCCGUUAUAAUUGAUCGAGCAUUCAAGUUUCUUCAACUCCUGUUCAAACCUAGUAGACACAGGGCGGACUCUCUUUUUGCUCUUUUCUCUUCUGUUCUUUAUCCUUUGGAGCAUAUUCAGAAUUUCCUCUUCAAAUCCUUUUGUCAGGAAUCCAAGCAAUUUGCUAAACUUCGCCAGACAGCUAUCUUCCC